rnacentral:rRNA from 1 species
UACGUAGGGUGCAAGCGUUAUCCGGAAUUAUUGGGCGUAAAGGGCUCGUAGGCGGUUUGUCGCGUCGGGAGUGAAAUCCACUGGCUUAACUGGUGGCUUGCUUUCGAUACGGGCAGACUGGAGGUAUGCAGGGGAGAACGGAAUUCCUGGUGUAGCGGUGAAAUGCGCAGAUAUCAGGAGGAACACCGGUGGCGAAGGCGGUCUGCUGGGCCGUUGCUGACGCUGAGGCGCGACAGCGUGGGGAGCAAACAGG